rnacentral:tRNA from 1 species
GUCCUUGUAGUUGAAGUUUUGACAACGGUGGCUUUUCAGGCCAUAGAUCUUGGAAAAAGGCCAGGCAAGGACU